rnacentral:lncRNA from 1 species
UCAAUUUUAAAUUUUUUUUGUUUCUUCUUUUAAUUUAUAUUAUUAUUUUUAUUUAUAUUUGUUUAUACUAAUAGCUCAUAUGUUUUAAGUUUAUAUAGAUUUUCUUCUUCAAAUUUCUACAACCAUCAAUCAUUUUGUUAUGUCAUAUAUGGAUUCUAUUUUUAAUUUACCAUGUUUUUCUUUUUUCUAUUAGGUGAAUUUUAUUUCUAUAAUUUUAAUUUUUAAAAAUUAAUAAAUUAUUG